GUGUGUGUCCGUGUAAAGUGAUCGUGGCAAAGCAGAGAGAGAGAGAAAGAGAGAGAGAUGUAGCACUGGGACUCUCCUCUGUCACUUUUACUUGUAAUCAUCUGUCCGGCGCCAUCCACGGCGCAAUGGGGGCGUUUUGAAGCGCCUGCUUUAUGAGGAGUCGCAUUAUACGAGUGAGCCACGCAAUGCGACCGAGGAGAGCUGCCUCUCGGAGGAUAUAUUGCGGCUUCUGGACUGCUUAGUCGGAGUAGCUUGGUGCUAGCGCGGGGCUAACGUCUUGUGCUGGCUUCUCCGGAGCGUAUCCUGUCAAGAUGCUGCGGUGGAUCCGGCAGCAGCUGGGCUUUGACCCUCCUCAUCAAAGUGACACCAGGACUGUUUAUGUAGCAAACCGUUUCCCUGAGCAUGGCCAUUACAUACCGCAGCGCUUCGCAGACAACAGAAUCAUCUCAUCCAAGUACACAAUCUGGAAUUUUGUCCCCAAGAAUUUGUUCGAGCAGUUUCGCAGGAUAGCGAACUUCUAUUUCCUCAUCAUCUUCCUUGUGCAGUUAAUGAUAGACACUCCAACUUCCCCAGUUACCAGCGGGCUGCCUCUCUUCUUCGUGAUCACAGUUACAGCUAUUAAACAGGGCUACGAGGACUGGCUGAGGCACAAAGCGGACAACGAGGUGAACGGAGCUCCAGUGUUUGUGGUUCGCAGUGGGAGUCUGGUCCAGACAAGAUCCAAAAAUAUCAGGGUUGGGGACAUUGUCCGUGUUGCUAAGGAUGAGACGUUCCCAGCUGACCUGGUGCUGCUGUCGUCGGAUCGUGCGGACGGCACCUGUCACAUCACCACAGCCAGCCUUGAUGGAGAAACCAACCUUAAGACCCAUUUUUCUGUGCCAGAGACGUCGGUGUGUCAGUCGGUGUCCCAGCUGGAGGCCUUGCACGCCGUGGUGGAGUGUCAGCAGCCGGAGGCCGACCUCUACAGGUUUGUUGGACGUGUAACCAUCACGCAGCAUGGAGAAGAGAUCGUCCGACCGCUGGGUCCAGAGAACCUGCUGCUGCGAGGGGCCAGGUUGAAAAAUACCAAAGAAAUAUUUGGUGUGGCCGUUUAUACGGGGAUGGAAUCCAAGAUGGCGCUCAACUACAAGUGCAAGUCCCAGAAACGCUCAGCUGUUGAGAAGUCGAUGAACUCCUUCCUGAUCAUCUACCUGGUCAUCCUGCUGUCGGAGGCGAUCCUCAGCACCAUCCUGAAGUACGCCUGGCAGUCCGAAGACAAGUGGAACGAGCCUUUCUACAACCAGAAGACCGAGCAGGAGAGAAACAGCAGCCCGAUCCUUCAGUUCAUCUCAGACUUCCUGGCGUUCCUGGUUCUCUACAACUUCAUCAUUCCCAUCUCGCUCUACGUUACUGUGGAGAUGCAGAAGUUUCUGGGCUCCUUUUUCAUUGGCUGGGAUAUGGACCUGUACCACGAGGAGAGUAACCAGAAAGCUCAGGUCAACACGUCUGAUCUCAAUGAGGAGUUGGGACAGGUUGAAUAUUUGUUUACAGACAAGACGGGUACGCUAACAGAAAAUGAAAUGCAGUUCCGCGAGUGUUCGAUAAACGGCAUCAAGUACCGGGAGAUGAACGGCAAACUGGUACCAGAGGGGAUGACGGGGGAUUCACCAAGCGGUUCUUCACCUCAGCUGAUGACUGAGGAGUUAUUAUUCCUCAAGGCCGUGUCACUGUGUCACACCGUCCAGAUCAGCUACAACCAGUCAGAGUCCUGGCUGGGAGGGGAUCCGUUCUCCCACACCAACAGUUUCUCCUUCAGCCACAUGGAGUACUACGCCUCCUCACCGGAUGAGAAGGCGUUGGUUGAGGGAACGAAGAGAAUUGGUGUGGCGUUCACAGGCUGCAGCGGGGACACCAUGGAAAUAAAUACAUUUGGGAAAUCUGAAAAGUAUAAACUGCUCCAUGUGUUGGAGUUUGAUCCAAACCGCAGGAGGAUGAGCGUCAUACUGCAGACUCCCUCAGGAGGGAAAGUGAUUUUCACAAAGGGUGCUGAGUCGGCCGUCUUGCCUUUCGCCACGACUGGAGAGAUUGAAAAAACCAGGCUGCAUGUGGACGAGUUUGCUUUGAAAGGUUUGCGUACCCUCGUUGUCGCAUGCCGCCACUUCAGUCCGGAGGAGUACAUCGCUGUGAACAAGCGGCUGACGUUUGCUCGCACGGCUCUGCAGCGGCGUGAGGAGAAACUGCAGCAAGCUUUCGCCUACAUCGAAAACAAUCUGCACCUCCUGGGAGCGACCGGCGUCGAAGACAAGCUUCAAGACAAAGUUCCGGAGACGAUCGAAGUCCUGCGUCGGGCGGGAAUCAAAGUAUGGGUGCUGACGGGGGACAAGCACGAGACGGCGGUCAGCGUCAGCUUGUCGUGCGGCCAUUUCCACCGAACCAUGAACAUCCUGGAGCUUCUGCAGCAGCGCUCCGACAACGAGUGUGCAGAGCAGCUCCGCAGGCUGGCCCGAAGGAUAAAGGAAGACCACGUCAUCCAGCACGGCUUGGUGGUCGACGGCGCUAGUCUGUCGUUAGCAUUGAGGGAACAUGAGAAGCUAUUUAUGGAAGUGUGUAAAAGCUGCUCAGCUGUGCUCUGCUGCCGCAUGGCCCCGCUGCAAAAAGCCAAGGUUGUUCGCCUGCUAAAGACUUCUCCAGAAAAGCCAAUAACAUUAGCUGUUGGGGACGGAGCCAAUGAUGUCAGUAUGAUACAGGAAGCUCAUGUAGGCAUAGGCAUCAUGGGAAAGGAGGGUCGUCAGGCCGUGAGAAACAGUGACUAUGCAAUCGCCAGGUUUAAGUUCCUGGCUAAACUCCUGCUGGUCCACGGCCACUUCUACUACAUUCGAAUUGCUACUCUUGUACAGUACUUUUUCUACAAGAAUGUGUGUUUUAUUACACCACAGUUUUUAUACCAGUUCUUCUGCUUGUUUUCACAACAAACACUGUAUGACAGUGUUUACCUGACGCUGUACAACAUCUGCUUCACCUCGCUGCCCAUCCUGGUGUACAGUCUGUUUGAGCAGCUGGUCCACCCCGACAUCCUGCAGGCUAAACCUGGCCUCUACAGAGACAUCAGCAAGAACUCUCUGCUGUCGUUCCGGACGUUCCUGUACUGGACGGCGUUGGGCUUCACUCACGCCUUUGCGUUUUUCUUUGGCUCCUACAUCCUGAUGGGGGAGGACACCUCUCUCAUGAGCAACGGACAGAUGUUGCGAGCUAACAGGCAGCUGAUGUUUGGGAACUGGACGUUUGGAACGCUCGUCUUUACUGUCAUGGUCAUCACCGUCACGCUAAAGCUCGCAUUGGAGACUCAGUUCUGGACCUGGAUGAACCAUUUUGUGACGUGGGGCUCAAUCGCUUUCUAUUUCAUCUUCUCUUUCUUUUACGGAGGCAUCAUCUGGCCGUUCUUGCACACCCAGGACAUGUACUUUGUCUUCGUCCAGCUGCUGUCCUGCGGCUCGGCCUGGUUCGCCAUCGUCAUCAUCGUCCUCACCUGCCUGUUUCCUGAAGUGAUGAAGAAGGUCCUCUACAGACACCUGUGUCCCACCAGCACACAGAAGAGCCAGAUGGAGCAGGGUGAGGGUUCAGUCGGCCCAGAAUAUGACCCUGUUAAAGCCCAGCGGAGCCCAGGGGAGGACAAUUGGCACCUGCUAGCUGCUUAUCCUCCCCCUGCCGCCCCCGGCCCAGACUCAUGCUCCCCUAGUCUCUAUCCGCCCCGCAGGCGCAGGCCCUCAGCUGUGUGGAGUCCCUGUGCUGCUACCAACAUGGGCAAAGCGGCUGUUCCCGCCUGGCCCGCCUCCUGGAACAAAUGACGGGACAAUGCAAGGCCGGCGUCAACAAUUGCCACACAUCCAGCCGCAGCAACAGGUCUUGGAGCGACACAGAGAACUUCUACUCCAAUGACCGCACCAUCCUGACUCUGUCGCCCAUCGAGGCCAGCCGCUGUUGACUCCCACGGCCGCCACCCCUAACACACACACCGGUACCGUUUUACGAGCCCACUCCAGUUUAAAAUCAGUGGGAACCAGGCAGGAUUGGGUCCGUAGCGUCUUUGUGUCCCUGCGGCUCACAGAUUCAUAGAAAGAAUGAGACGAGCAUCAGAGGAAAUGAAACGGGUCAGAAGAUGCGAUCAGCCCACGAACAGGAAAUAUCAGAUUCCUGAAAGAUGAUCCGAAAAACACAUUUAAAAAACAAGAAAGGCAUCGGUUUCUUUCCUCUGGACAGAAAACAGACCUGAAUCUUAACAAACUUACUCUGAUCCAGACCUUUUUCUUUUUUCUACGAAUGUUGCCAACACUGCAAAAACACAAAAUCUUACCAAGUGUUUUUGGUCAAGUUUCAGCUGCAAAUAUCUUAGUACAUUUGAAUUAAGACAAAACUAACUUACAAGAAACUUUUCAUCAAGAUAUAGGAGCUUUUAUGAAGUAAAUAAUGACUUAAUAUUGAUUGACGUAAAAGUACUAGUUCCA